rnacentral:rRNA from 1 species
UACGAAGGGGGCUAGCGUUGCUCGGAAUGACUGGGCGUAAAGGGUGCGUAGGCGGGUCUUUAAGUCAGGGGUGAAAUCCUGGAGCUCAACUCCAGAACUGCCUUUGAUACUGAAGAUCUUGAGUUCGGGAGAGGUGAGUGGAACUGCGAGUGUAGAGGUGAAAUUCGUAGAUAUUCGCAAGAACACCAGUGGCGAAGGCGGCUCACUGGCCCGGAUACUGACGCUGAGGUGCGAAAGCGUGGGGAGCAAACAGG